rnacentral:rRNA from 1 species
UACGUAUGGAGCAAGCGUUAUCCGGAUUCAUUGGGCGUAAAGCGCGCGUAGGCGGCUUGUUAAGUCAGGUGUUAAAUCCUAGGGCUCAACCCUAGUCCGCACCUGAAACUGGCAGGCUUGAGUUCGGUAGGGGAAAGUGGAAUUCCCAGUGUAGCGGUGAAAUGCGCAGAUAUUGGGAAGAACACCAGUGGCGAAGGCGGCUUUCUGGGCCGUAACUGACGCUGAGGCGCGAAAGCUAGGGGAGCAAACAGGAUUAGAUACCCCGGUAGUCCCUGA